rnacentral:rRNA from 1 species
AAACAUAGUUUGAAGUUAAUUAAUUUUAAAUGAAUCCUGCCCAGUGAAUAAAUUUUUAAAUGGCCGCAGUACCUUGACUGUGCUAAGGUAGCAUAAUCAAUUGGCUUUUAAUUAGAGUCUGGAAUGAAUGGAAUAAUGAAAUAAAGCUGUCUUAAAAAUUAUUUCUAUAAACUUAUUUAUAAGGUGAAAAUACCUUAAAUUUUUAGAAAAAAGACGAGAAGACCCUUAGAGUUUUUAAUAUAUAAAUAAAUUUAAUGUUUAUUAUUUUUUUGUUGGGGCGACAAGUAAACAUUUUAAACUUUACGUUUUUAUAUUACGAUUUUAUUAAAAUAAAAAAAACUACCUUAGGGAUAACAGCAUUAUUUAUUAAUAAGAUUGUGACCUCGAUGUUGGACUAGGAACUUUAUGGCUAGCCGUCAAAUAAGAUUUGUUCUGUUCGAACAAUAUUAUCCUACGUGAUC